GCGGAAGUGGCUCAAUGGUAGAGCGUCACCUUGCCAAGGUGAAUAUUGCGAGUUCGAUUCUCAUCACCCGCUCCA
rnacentral:tRNA from 1 species